GCUUAGAGUGUGAUCCUGGCUCAGAACGAACGCUGGCGGAAGGUCUAACACAUGCAAGUCGAGCGCUCUCUUCGGAGGGAGCGGCGGACGGGUGAGUAACGCGUGGGAAUAUGCCCUUGGGUGCGGAACAACCGCUGGAAACGGCGGCUAAUACCGCAUGACGACUACGGCCCAGAGAUUUAUCGCCCAAGGAUUGGCCCGCGUCGGAUUAGGUAGUUGGUGAGGUCACGGCUCACCAAGCCGACGAUCCGUAGAUGGUUUGAGAGGAUGAUCAUCCACACUGGGACUGAGACACGGCCCAGACUCCUACGGGAGGCAGCAGUGGGGAAUUUUCCGCAAUGGGCGCAAGCCUGACGUAGCCAGACCGCGUGAGGGAAGAAAGCCUUUGAGUUGUAAACCUCUUUUCCCAGGGAAGAAGAUCUGACGGUACCUGGGGAAUCGGCCUCGGCUAACUCCGUGCCAGCA
rnacentral:rRNA from 1 species